AGUAAAUCAUCUGAAAUCCAUGUAUUUUUAAAAUUUAAAUAUAUUAUUUAUUCUUAGAUAAAAUGGAAAGCUCAAAAUCCAGGACAUUAUUUCCCUUCACAUUGGAAGUUGAGGAAAAUAAAUUGCAUGAAAUAAUAGUUUGUUAUCAUUAAUCCAAUUAUUGAAGUCAGACGAUUCGUGCACAUUCCAGAGCAAAAUAUUGGGUCGUCCGGAAAGUUCAUGGCUAUUUUUAAGAAAAAUUCAAAGGCAUAUUUGAAUAUUGAUGCAUAUUUAUUGAAUUAUAUACAUAUGUACAUCUUGUUCCACAACCUUUGCACCUUUUAAGGCGUGUACACAUGUUAUUUGUUUUCAGCUAUUCCGACAUAUUUAGACCUGUACCGCCUACUAAAAAUCGGCAUGGACAUUCCAGACAGCCCAAUAUCAAUAAUUGUACUCACAUAUGAUAUAAUACAUGUACUAUUUUACAACAUUUCUAAACUUUGUCAUAUGUAAAGUUCUCUAGCGUUCUGUUGGAUGCAGUGAUGCGUUGGUGACAUUUGUUUGCAAGCAAUUGCUAUGCCCUGAUUCUCACAAUAGCAUCAAGAAGACUCAGCUGUAUUUUGAUUCUCGCCUUCGCUUUAAUGGAGGAUACUAGAGUAAACAUACGCUCAACCAUUGUUGAUUAUAAAUAAUUCUAGCAUACGAAGAAAUCUAAUCUAACCAGAUUAACAAAUAUUGACCUUUAAUAGUCCUUCGAUGAAUAUACCUCUUAAACUUCAAUUCUCUUACUUUAUUCUUGCCCAUAAUUUCAUUACACACACAUAGUUAAUUUUAACACAUGGUUAAAAACGUUUAUACGUUGCAUUUAACAUUCCUACAUUGUUAUUUAAUUUUACAAAUAAUUUCCACGCAAUUGUUAAAUUCGGAACAAUUUCUAGAAUUUGGCUUCAAAGGAGCUGGCAACCCUGUUCGAGACUAUGAAACCAAAUAAUCGAGAGAGUUUUGGGAAACUGUGUAUUCUCAGUAUCUAAUUUGUAAUAUUCAAAUAUUUGCUCCAUCAUAGAAUCUACAUCCUGUCAUACUAAAAUUACAAGGGCAUAAGUAAGCUUAAUUGACUUUACAGAUAGAACAAAAUUUGGCAGCAGUGGCAUGCUACUUCACGUACAUACAUAUAUCGACGUUGUAUAGUCGAAGCAAAGAACAUGGGUCGUUUAAAAAUAACUCGGCGAUAUCGUUCACGAGAUCUAGACACUUAGGGAACACGGUGCCCCACAAUUCUGUCGAUCGUUUUGUUUUGGUUUUUAGAUUUCCUUUUCUGAGAGUACCUUGUCCCUCUAUAUUGAUAUUCGAGAAGGAAGAAAUGUGAGAUAUCAACUUUUUCUUGAUUUGUUUGAUAUAAAUGAUCAAAUUGUUGAAAGCAGAUGUAAUUUUUGGAUUUUCCAGGGCAACCGAAAAUUCCAAAAAAAAGUUUUUGGCUGAUUGGAUAAAAUAUAUUUACUAUUUUACAAUAUUUUUAAAUAGAAUCUCUUCAAGAAUAGAUAUCUUCAUCAAUACAUUCGUUCAUUCCAGGUUUUGGAAACGAAGUUUGCUAUUUUAUCAACUAAUUCAGUAAACAGCACAUCAGUGUAUCAAUUAUUAAGUAACAAUUAUUAAGUUGUAGUAGUAUUGUCAUUUUUUAAAUGCGUCUAUGCGUUAAUUAAUAUAAUUUACAACAUUAUUAAAAAGCGUUUGCACAACCUAAAUAGAUCUGUACUCCUGAAGGGGUCACUAAUGUCAUCAAUGACAAAUAUUUUAUAAAAUCUGCCAACUAUAAUUUUUAAUGCUCUGGAUAGCCCAGCAAUAAUAUUCAUAAGGUUUCCCCAAAAGUAACUUCAGAGUUCUGUUUUCUAAUAAAACACAAAUGCAAUAAACAUACCAAUCUCAUUUUUAUUUUAUUUAUUUUAGAGGACAGUACACAUGAUAACAAUUUAAUCAUCUCGAGGUGUACUUUAUCAUUAAAAAACAGAAUUCUAAAAUCCUUUCUAGAAAACGCUUCAUAAUUUUAUUAAAAGAACGAUCGUGCGUAUCAGUCAUCACUGUUUACAAGACCAAACUCACAGUGCAUUUCUGUCAUUAUCAGCUGUUCCGAGAGUGAGAGUCUUCUCUGAGAACAUAGAUGAAACGAUCGAGAGAAUUCUGAGACGUCGAGUUUCCUCGGUGUAUAGAUCUUUUCAACGAAAUCGUCCAGUUAUUUUUAAACAAACCGUGUUUUAUGCUCUGACUCUACAACGUCGUUGUACCUGAGGUAGCAGGCUACUGCUGCCAAAUUUUGUUCUAUCUAAGAAAUUUUUGAGUCGAUUAAUCCUCCUUGCAAUUUUAGAAUUACAGGAUGCAGAUUUUAUGGUGGAGUAAAGAUAGCUACGAGAACAUUGCUCUUUUUCGUACAAGUAAUGAGAAAUAAUUUGGAGUAAGAGAUAAUUUUUGAUUCAUUAUUUAUUUUAUUAUAUUAUACUUCAUUUAAUAUUUUCAUUAUUUAAUAAAUUUAAAAUAUGAAUUAUACAAUAAAAUUAAAUUUCAUGUUGGAUGAAUAACAGUUGAUCCUAAUAGCUAUUCAAUCAUAUAUGUGUUGUUGUUGUAUUAGAAUUCCAAAUAAUCGCUGUUCGAUUAGUCGUUGUUUCUUACUACAACAUAUGCUUCAUAUUAUUAAUAUAUCAAUACAUUGUUGAUCAUGUAUUUUAAAUAACUACGAACGAUAUUAUUAAAUUGUCUGGUGAUAAUUUAUCAACCUCCUCAGUUUAGAACUUCUCUUUUAAGGUGGAAACAAAUAUUUUUUGGAUGCUUUAGGCCAGCUGUGGUUUAAUAAAAGUAACUGAAUCGAAAGAUAACACAAUACACCAGUAAUUACAAAAGAAUUGAUCACCAAUGAAAAACUAACACAUUUCACAUCAUGAAUUAAAAAUUCUAAUUAAGGAAUAAGUAUUAACCCUUUCUUAUAUAGAACGUCACGUAUACUACAAUGGAAAUAGCAUUUACAUUCUCUCGGCUGCAAAAUAUGUUAGUGCCAAACUAUUUAUAAUAUUUUUCCACUGGUGUUACUAACUGUCACGAUAUAAAUGUACACAGAGGUCAAUAUUAUUGGCAAAAAGCAUUUAUUAUCUUAAAAAGUAGUUACUUUUAUAUUGAAUAAUAAUGUCAUUAGAGGUAAAUUUAUAUGUCCACUAGCAUGACGAUGUACAGCAGGUCUGAAGACAUUAAUUUCGCAUUAUUCGAGAUCGUCGGUAGUCUUCCUUAUUAAUAAUGAUGAUUUAGCAUCCGUGUCGCAUCGUCGCGCGAAAUAGCUGAUUUUGUCAUGAAGAACCAUUACUGCUUUGUUAGCUGUCCGUCGAGAUCUUUUGUAUGCAAUUUCCCGCGUCCCACACGCGACCUGUAUUCUUUUUAGACGCGAUACAGCCGCUGGCACUCUUCGAAUUUGACUGACAUUUGCGAGCCAAACUCGAGUAUCGACGUUGCCAGGCUACGAGUCAAUGUCGUGCGGAAUGAACGAAUGACAAUAAAUAAGUAUUACCAUGCGAUGACACUAACCAUUAAACGAAAACAAUUUGGCUAUUUUAGAAAUGACCAAUGAAUCAGGUAGUGACAAUAUUUGAUUCAAUUUGCUAAGCUUUUUCCUAACGUUCACUUUGCUGUUUGAGAGGCUGAGAAUCAUAGUGCAGCAAAUCAAAAGAAAAUAAAAAUUUGUGCUGUAGUUUGUGCCAUCAGACCGACACCUGUUUAAACGUGUCGAUAGAUUCUUAUGGUAGAAGAUUUUUUAUAAUCAAGUAGUUACAAAACGAAUCUUCGAAGAGCCUACUGAGUUUCUAAAAAAUCGGCAUUUUUAUACUAGCUGAAUAAAUAGGCUAGUUUGGUGUUAGUUAAAGUGUAUGGAACUGUAUGGCUCUUGCUUUGAUGGAUACAAUUUAUUUUUAAUUUAUCACUUGGAGAAUCUAACAUAUACUAUUGCAUCCACCUUAUGUAAGAAUGAAGUUUUUCUUAUUUGCACUGGAUAGUUGAAUGCACUCGUUAAUGAAGUUGUGUUUUCUUUAAUCAACCAUGAAAAGCAUCAAACAGUAGAUAACAAAUAAUGUGUCCAAAGAUAAUCCGAUUAUUAAACUGCAGAAGUUUAUGCAUUUCUAACAACUGGAAAUAUGGAAAAAGGUAAGAGGAAGCGUACAUAUUUAAAAAUAUAUAGAAUAUCAUAAAUGAAAUAGAUUUUGUGUGUUUAACAAUGUUACACUGUUUAGAUCACAAGAUAUUUUCAUUUAAAUUUCAUUUCUUUAUCUAUAUCUGUGGGAAUAUGAAUUUCCAUAAAUAGACGCAAUCUACUGAUUAUCAUAUUACAGUUAAUAUCUGCUAUUAAUUGAAAGUUUGAUGAAUGAAGGUUUUAAAGUCUACUUGGACUGCGGAGGUCUUUUAAAAAUGGCGUCUGACAUCUGACAGAUCUGACAGCCUUAAAAAGUAAUUGGGUUGUGAAUGAAUACAAAAUGAGAUGAAGAAUUUCAAUGUAUCCAUUAGGCAUUGUCUGCUGAAAUUAAAUACGUAGUCUUUAUCUUUGACAACUGAAUCGCAAAAAUGUUCGCAGAAAAUGUCAACACCGACAUGUUGUUCAGUCCUCUUAUCAGUAAUUUUGGGAGUAAACAUUGAAAUCAGUGUUUCUCAAACUGCGGUCUGCAAACCACUAGAAGUCCAAGUAUUAUUUAGCAAAAUAAAAAAAAAUUCUUCUUCCAUUAAUAUUGUUAAAAACAUGUGCCAAAAUUUAAUUAAACAGUAUAAUAUAAAUUCCAAGAAGGACAAUAUAUAAAGCAAAUAUUAAAUUUCAAGAUUUAAUGAAGUUACUAAAAAACCAUCAAAGAAAUAGAUCAAUCCUGCCGAAAGGCGUUUACUAAAGAUUAUUAUGAGGUUCCAAAGAAAAAUAUAGUUUGAAAAGCACUGACUCAAAUGCUUGUCGAGAUCGUGAUACGGCGAUUAGCAAAUUUAAUCAAGACAUGUUUAUGAUCGAAAAGAAUUCACAGGCCAAUGUAUCGUUCCAUACAAAAGCAAUGGCAGAAAAUGGACCUCUUUACAGGGACGUUGCAUAAUUUUCCACGAAGUGGAACUACACUCGUAAAGUAUUCGGAAAUCUUCACGGUGGAGAUUCGAGUAUUUUAUAAUCGUGAAUCAAGCCGCAAAUACGCGCCUGAUAUUUUUAGAUCGAAUCUCUUUGGUCGAGUUCGCAACUAGCGACCUUCUGAUAAAAUUUAGCCACGCCAAAAAUUGCUGGAUAGUCGCGAGGAAACAAACGAACCAUUUCACGCGUUCUAAAAACUGCCAAAGACGAUGUCGAAAACUGAUCGAUGGGGUGAACUGUUCGAAAUUGCGAAACCCUGAUGUUUAAACACUGGAUAGCAAAAUUCUCAACGAAAAAUAAAAAUGACUCAUCUCACAUAGCCUUAGAGCAGUGUUUCAUGAAAUUCACCUUUCCAAGGCUUUUAUCGAUUAAGGAAAAUUCUUGGCACGCCUCCUAGACCUGUAUUAUACUCCUAUUUUGUGUAUACAAUGUAAAACUACUUAUAACAGAAGGCAUUUAUGUCUUGACAGCUUUUGUUCAAUUUAAAUAUUUUCGCAGUUAAUUUUAAAACUAAUAUUUGUUUUGUGAGUUUCAAGUAAAUUGUAGUAUAAUUCAACAUACCAAGUUGUUUAAAUGAAUGGUAUUGGUACUAUAGAGUGAAAUAAAAAUCCGAAAUAUGUUUCGAUUCCAGUUGGCAAGUAUUAUCGAUAGUUUGGAUAUCUUUGACACGAGAAAUACGCAGUUGGCAGAGAAGCAACUAUUGUUGCAGGAAUAUUUCGAACAUGUUUCUGGAUUUAUAACCGUAACUAUAGUCGUGAUUUGUGGAAAAUUACGCUUUCUUCGCAGUUGUUUCAUCCGCGUGACCGAGAAAAAAUGCAUUGAAAUUCUUACAUCAGGUUGAAUCUCGAAUAUAUCAAGUUGCACAAUAGUGUUCUCAACGAAUGCCUUUUUAGGUCUCAUUUAACAUUUAAGAAUUGUAAUAAUGUAGAGCAAUGAUGAUAUAGCAUUAACAAAUGGAAUGAAAUAAAUAGUUUGAUACAUAUAUUAACGGUAGUUAUAAAGUUAUGCAAUAUUUACGAAAAAUGUGCAAGGGAAAAAAUAUAAAAUUAGAGUAGAAGUCAAAAGUAAAUUAAAAUAAUACUAUUUUUCAGAAGUAAAAAAAAUUCAUAAUUUUAAUAUUUAAUAAUAUUAUAUAUAUAAUAAUAAAAAGCGACUGUGACGAAUACAAGAAAUGAUGGCACAACUAUUUUUUCAUAUACUUUAUACAUAUUGGCUAUCACUUAUUUUCGUACAAGGUACCUUUAGGGGUAAAAAAGAACUGCAAUUUUUAACUGAAAAAUGUUUGAAUAAUAAAGUUAUACAUUUUUCUUAUUACCAAAAGAAUUAUAAUAAUUGAAUUUUAGUAAUAGAUGUCUUGUUUAAUUUUAGAUAUGAAUUAAUUUUGUUCGUUUUAGAAAACAUUAAAGUAAUAUGACAUUUGUAAAGAUCUCUCAAAAUGUGAUUUAAAUGUUAUUAUUACGUUGAUUAAACCAAUGAAAAUAUUCUAACAGUGAAGCAUGUAGUUCGACCUUAUUUUGGUCAAAUGAUUCAUGGGAAACGACGCGAACCUCCUCACUUUUUGUUUCUUUCCCCUGUCACGCGACGAAAACAGAACUAUUGCUCCUUUUUUUUUAUCUCUGUCCCACUACGCAUCAUUCUCUGGCAAGAUUCCGAUUUUUGCAUGGAAUCGCGCAACAAGUUUGACAAAUAUAAACAGGGGUGCACCAAAACGGCAUUUUCAUCCCCGUUUCCUUCCUUCAACCUCAUAUUCGCUGGAAUUCACGUAAACAGUCAUUUCACUGCGAAUCGCAAUCAUCAAUUCCGCGGUGUGUUCUUUAGCAAUCUUCGGUAUAGUACCAUAAUUUUCAAACGAAUUAAAUUUGUUGUAAAACUUUAGUCAAUUAAUAAGAUAAUUAGUAACUAUGAUUGUAUAGGUAUUUUAGACUUAUUAUUAAGUCACACACAACACAAACUUUAAAAAGGUUCCAUUUUUCUCUUAGAAGCCUAUUAAUUUUGUAAUAUACGUAUUUGUAAAUUUAUUUUUCUGUUAAUUUAAUAAAUUUCUUUGUAUAUAUAUUUUUGUAUGAUAUAUGAAUGUAAUGAAUUGUUGUUUGUAUAUUACAAAAUUUUUGUAAUUUUUAGUGUUUCUCAUAAAGAGAUUCAGUAGUUCACCGAACAUUAGAUCUUAAUAUAACUUGUAUGCUGCUUUAAGAAUUGCGUUGUUCAUUGUACCAAGAAUUCCUUUAAGUACAUUCACAAGCAUCAAAAGCAAAAUAUACUUGAGCCUCUACCAUGUGUUCUUGCUGAGUACGUCAUCCAAACAUUGUACAGGACCUUUUAGGCUGACCUUGUUGGAAAUAAACCUUUUACUAAUGUAUGUAGCAGUAUAAUGCAAUUAAAAUUUUGUAUGACCCUUCAAAAUUCGAUUAUGGAAAUAUUUUAAUCGAGCUGAUUCUUUUGCAUACACUUUUAUCAAGUUCUCACAAAUAAUAGGUGAAGUUUUCACGUCACGUCACGUCUCGUGUACACAAUCGACAACACGAAAAUAUACAUAUAACACAUCUGUCUUGUAGAAAAUUUCCUUAUCUUUCUUUCUAGGAAUAACUUGUAGUAAAUCUUAUAGUUUUUGAGAUAGCAUAUGGAAAAUUAAUUUUUCUAUUAAAAGUGAUCAAUUUUGAAUUUUAAUUUCACGUUAAACUUGUUCAUACAAAGAUAGCUGUGAGACAUUUUAACGACUCAGGAAAGAUAUAUGCGAAAGAUCAGCUGAAUAAAAAUAUUUUUAUAACCUCCUGUGUAUUUUAGUCUAGACACUAAAGUGACUGAAGUAUAAACCGCGCAGCAUGCUUCAUUACGAAUAUUUUAAGAAGGGACCAACUCUGCUCGUUUCUCCCAACUGUUUCGUUCCCUUUGAACGAUUCCUUCGCGUUGUCCUUUUGGAAGCACUUACGAGCUGUCAGGUUGGAAAGUGUUUCGUUUCCAGUAACGUACCUACAUUAAUACUCGCGAGCUCAAAGCAAAACGAUUACGCUUUAGGAGGACUGUACUUCUCGUUAAAUAUUAGCAAACAAUUAGUUUAAAACGAAAGCUGGGUGGUUUGGUGAACUCGUAGUGAAUUUUCGUAAUAUCUUAAUGAGACACAUUUGCAUCGAUGAAAUUCUGACAGAGAAUGACAGGUAACUUUUAAACCGGAAGUAGGCGGAGUGGUGCUAGAACCCCUAAAAGGUGCAACUUGAUGCCUAGACCUUGCGAAUGAUACCUAACUUGUCUACCUUAUGACACCUGUUCAGGGCAACAUAGAUGUUAAAUGUUCCUUAUUCUUUAACAUACUAUUAAUUAUUUCUGAUAAUUAAAAAUUAGAAUAUGGUAUAGUUAACAAUUUUUAAAAUAAGAUCGAAAUGAGUGGACCAAAUUAAUUGACUAAAAUAGUUCUAGUGGUAUAGUUUGUUCGUGUAGGUAUGAUGUGUGUGAAACUUUGUUUUGAUUUACAUGUCAGAAUUGAUUCCUCACAAAAAUCAAGAAAUACGUUUGUUUACAUAUGUGUUCGCUCCGUUUUGAAUUUUGUCUGAGGAAACGUUUUCCAGAAAAUCAUAAAGUUCGAUAUAAUAAAUUCUAUUUAUGAAGCAUUAACGCCAUUUGGUUCUAAAAAAAAUUAUACGUGUAUAGAUGUAUGUAUGGGUACAUGUUUGUGGUCCGUGUUUACUUCUUAUAGGAGCAAUUUAUCAGAAAAUCAUUAGCUUUGAUACAUAGUAACUUCUAUAAACAUAUGGGAUGACAGAAUUCUAUAUAUGUACAUAUGUAUGUACAUAUGUAUGACUCAUGUAUGUGUUUGUAUACAUGUUGGGCUCUGUACCUAAGGAGUGAUUUACCACGAAAUCGUAGCAAUUUGAUAUCGUUCUUCAUAUGAAUUAUUGAUUCAAUUGUUACAAAUUUAUCGAGGGUGGCGGAACAAUACAACUAUAUAAAUACUAUACUUUAACGUUACGUUGCAAGACAGAAUUUCAUCGUAAUUCUCGUCCGUUAAGAUCACGAAAAAUACAUUUGUGAUGGAAUUUGUUUAGGAGGUUGUAUACCGACAUAUUUGAUUUUCGAACAUGGUUACAUAUUAAGGCAGAGUUACGUCUAAUCUCUUCACCGUCGAAACGAAGACAUAUGUAUAAAUAUUCGAAGAGUUCUACAACAACGUUCAGAGCUUUUCACUAAUCAGCCAGCGAUCUUCGCCGAUGGUUACUUCCGAGACGACGCCGAAGAGUGGGGCCUCCGUGGAAAGUGUGUCUGGCCGGAUUUAGAAGCCGCAUUUUUUCCCCCCUGAACGAGCGCAGCAAUCCACGGGCCAAUGACAGAUAUCCCGUGACCAGCGAUGAACGGAGGAGAGUGCGAGAUGCACUGGGAAGACGAGGCGCUGGUCCACGAUUUUGACAGCUGCGUGUCGCUGCGUCUUGGUUUUCGUUCGUGCCCACCCUCUUCGGGGAGGGCGACCCUUACGAACAGUUUACGGGCGCGUGGAGGAAUUUUCGAAACGCUCUGGCGUGGUGCGACGCGACGUGGAAAACUAUCUUUAGAGCUCACGUAGGGGCGGUGCUCUCGCUCGAAAAUAGAAUAUUCGUCGAGGGGAUAUUCUCCGCUAAGAAAUCCGGAGGGAUCUCGAUUUAUUUUCUACCGUUGCGUUUCGCGUUUUGACGCGAAAACAAAAAAAUUCCAGGGGAGAAAAAGAAACGACGGGGAGAUCGUAAAUCGCGAGCAACGGAACGGCCGGGGCGACAUAGGGACAUUUGGAAAUUUUUUGGUCCGAGCAGAAAUGUAAUAUCUGCUCGAGGCUCGGUUCACCGCCUUGGGCAACUUGACAGGAUGUUUCAUGGAAGAGUGAUCGAAAAUUAAGUGACCGAGGAAAAUCUGGCGUGAGAUACGAGUUGUGGUGAAGUAUGGUAAAAAUAGAGCUUGUCGAGUAGGUGUAUACAGUCCAAAUAUUGUAGUGACACUAGAUUCGUUCAUUGGGAUAAAUGUAUUCUGUAACGUGAAUCAAUCUUUUAAAGUUUAAUGACACAGACGGGUCCUGUUCGUGUGAGGAUUAAAUAAAAAUUAGAGAUACUUUUAGUCACUAUUGUAUAUCGUCCUGAGCACGUGCCCUAAAGUAGAAAAGGUGACAAAGUCAAAUCGAAAGGGUGGCAAUGCUGAAGAAGUCCCGAAAUUGUAUGGCGUGAAAUGGUCUGACACUUAGCAAGGCAUAUUGUUGUGCUCGUUGAGCUUGAUGUAAUGAGCUAAAAUAUAAGCAGAAGAAGGUCCCAGAAAGCACUAUAUACUAAGUAAAAGUGACUGCCAGAUUCAAAGUGAUUCAUAAAAACGAUAUUAUACUCAAUUUGCAACUUGUAGUAACCAAAUCACUCGAGAAGAGUUCUUUAUCGGCACGUUCAGUGAAUCAGUGAUAUUUGAUCGCGAUCCUUCGAGGCAUGAUUUCGUUAUGAAACUGCUAGUUUUAGAGCCGCCAACCUUGAAGACUAUAAGAGCUACUGUAUAGUCUUCAUUCUUGUUGAACUACUUGUUGUAUGUAAGAACUGUACCUUUGUGAUAAGUACAUUAAAAAAGAAAGGAAAAACUUAUUUUAUUAUAUGCUUAAAGUGUAAGAAUUUUACACUUUUAUUGACCGUUUAAGACUCUCUCGUUAUUGAUCAUCUUUUGAAAUACGAGAAAGUGAAUCUAAGAACUAAUUUAUCAUUCAAAUUAAUUCUCAUUAACAAUAGUUGUCUCCACAAAUUGCAAUAAAAUCAUUAUUAAUAACUGAGUAAUUCUAAAAAGAAUUCACCGACGGUCAAAUUCACCGACUUGGUAGUUUUAAUGUCAACCCAUUUAAACCCGGGAGGGUUAACAGCGAACCAAGCAAGAAAUGAAGAAUAUCUCGAAGAUCCACUUUGGUGAAUCGAUAACACUAGCUUCGAAAAUCUUCGAAAGAUGGGUCACGAGUGAAUCACCAAGGUAGCGCAUAGCGACGUGUCUAUUUCGAGGACCGAGGGAUACUCGGUGAGAAGUGGCAAAUGGGGUGCCGUCGUCUAUGAUUCAACGUCCGCCUCGAACCCUACCAGAAACCCGUGCGAGUUCCACACACGCUUCCCGUGUGUAUAAACUGCCAAGACGUGACGAGGAUAUCCACCUGGGGCACACGUACACCCGUCGAAUGCUAUUUUCGCGGACUAGUACGAGUAAUCGUCCGAAGGACCCUGAAUGUGGGUUAACCGAGCCUCCACUCGAAGAGACCCCUUGUCUUCGGCACGAAAUGGAGGAUCGAGAUUAAUCUUAUGCGACAGGCGAACGAUGCCAGCGGUAUUUGAUACUCGUUUAACGGGUGGACGCCAAGGUGUUGCUUCACGUGGCUGUGCGAAUUUGUUUGAAUCUCGUUUACGAAUUGUGUUGAUAGUCUUUGGAGCAACAGAAAACUACGAUCGAAGGUUAUCUUAGAUGUUUUUUUUUAUUUCGAAAACCUAAGAGAGCACAGAAGUUUUUGGUCGAUGCGUAAUAUUCCUAAAUUUUAGGCUAUCCAGUUUUAAUAUCUAUAGCUCUCUAUGAUUUAAUUUCGAAAUGUUCACUUCCGGGAAUAAUAAAAAUGAAAUAGUAAUUACGGUUAUAUUUUUGUCACCAAUUAACCCUUGCCAAAUUUUCCGUAGGCUUAUA